rnacentral:rRNA from 1 species
UACAGAGGUGGCAAGCGUUGUUCGGAAUUACUGGGCGUAAAGGGCGCGUAGGCGGUUCGGUAAGUCCUGUGUGAAAUCCCUCGGCUCAACUGAGGAACUGCACGGGAGACUGCCUGGCUUGAGUUCGGGAGAGGGAAGCGGAAUUCCGGGUGUAGCGGUGAAAUGCGUAGAUAUCCGGAGGAACACCGGUGGCGAAGGCGGCUUCCUGGACCGACACUGACGCUGAGGCGCGAAAGCUAGGGGAGCAAACGGG